AUACGGAUGGUGCGAGCGUUGUUCGGAAUUACUGGGCGUAAAGGGCGCGUAGGCGGCGAUGUAAGUCAAAUGUGAAAGUCCUCGGCUUAACCGGGGAAGUGCAUCUGAAACUGCAUUGCUUGAGUAUGGGAGAGGAAAGUGGAAUUCCCGGUGUAGAGGUGAAAUUUGUAGAGAUCGGGAGGAAUACCGGUGGCGAAGGCGACUUUCUGGACCAAUACUGACGCUGAGGCGCGAAAGCGUGGGGAGCAAACAGGAUUAGAAACCCUUGUAGUCC
rnacentral:rRNA from 1 species